rnacentral:misc_RNA from 1 species
UACGUAGGUGGCAAGCGUUGUCCGGAAUUAUUGGGCGUAAAGCGCGCGCAGGCGGUCCUUUAAGUCUGAUGUGAAAGCCCCCGGCUCAACCGGGGAGGACCAUUGGAAACUGGGAGGCUCGAGUAUAGGAGAGAAGAGUGGAAUUCCACGUGUAGCGGUGAAAUGCGUAGAGAUGUGGAGGAACACCAGUGGCGAAGGCGACUCUCUGGUCUGUAACUGACGCUGAGGCGCGAAAGCGUGGGGAGCGAACAGG